rnacentral:ncRNA from 1 species
AGACAAGGGCAAACAUUUUCGAAAGAAGUGGGCGCAAAGCCACGGGUCUAAAGCUUAACUUACAAAGCUAUGAUCGCCGGGUUACC